rnacentral:rRNA from 1 species
GAUGAACGCUGGCGGCGUGCCUAAUACAUGCAAGUCGAGCGAACAGACGAGGAGCUUGUUCUUCUUACGUUAGCGGCGGACGGGUGAGUAAACCGUGGAUCACUCUCCUAUAAGACUGGGAUAACUUCGGGAAACCGGAGCUAAUACCGGAUAAUCUAUUGAACCGCAUGGCUCAAUAGUGAAAGACGGUAUUGCUGUUACUUAUAGAUGGAUCCGCGCCGCAUUAGCUAGUUGGUAAGGUAACGGCUUAGCAAGGCAACGAUGCGUAGCCGACCUGAGAGGGUGAUCCGCCACACAGGAACUGAGACACGGUCCAGACACCUACGGGAGGCAGCAGUAGGGAAUCUUCCGCAAUGGGCGAAAGCCUGACGGAGCAACGCCGCGUGAGUGAUGAAGGUCUUCGGAUCGUAAAACUCUGUUAGUAGGGAAGAACAAAUGUGUAAGUAACUAUGCACGUCUUGACGGUACCUAAUCAGAAAGCCACGGCUAACUACGU